rnacentral:rRNA from 1 species
CCUACGGGCGGCAGCAGUGAGGAAUAUUGGUCAAUGGACGAGAGACUGAACCAGCCAAGCCGCGUGAAGGAUGAAGGCCCAGUGUGUCGUAAACCUCUUUUAUCGGGGAACAAAAACUUCGACGCGUGCCCGGCUGGAUGUACCUUAAGAAAAAGCAUCGGCUAACUCCGUGCCAGCAGCCGCGGUAAUACGGAGGAUGCGAGCGUUAUCCGGAUUUAUUGGGUUUAAGGGGUGCGCAGGGGGGUUGUUAAGUCAGGUGUAAAAGUCCGCGGCUCAACCGUAGAAGUGCCGUUGAAACUGGCAGUCUUGAGUACGGGAGAAGUGUGAGGAAUGCGUGGUGUAGCGGUGAAAUGCAUAGAUAUCGCGCAGAACUCCGAUUGCGAAGGCAGCACGCUGGCC